rnacentral:lncRNA from 1 species
UGUUUGUAGCAUCUAGAAAGGGAGUUUCCGGGAGAGAAUGUUCUUUUAGUAACAGUUACUGAUGAUGAAUCAAGAAGAUUGGAGCAGCAAUCAGAUUCUGAGACCAAGGCAGAGAUCAUGGCUGUCUUGAGAAACAUGUUUGGGAAACAAAUUCCAGAAGCUACAGAUAUAUUAGUCCCUAGAUGGUUGUCAAACAGAUUCUUCAAAGGCAGUUACUCCAACUGGCCAAUUGGAGUUAGUCAUCACCAAUUCAAUCAGAUAAAGGUAACAACAUUUAUUAGAAAUUCAUCAGGAUGAAAUCAAUUAUUGCUUUCAAAAGUGAAAAAAUUUAACUAAUCAAUACAUAAAAGAGAGAGGAGAUGGUGAUAAUAAGAAGCUUUCUAACCUAACUAAAUGAUAAAUUAAAAAAGAGAGGAAGAAAAAAAGAAAGAAAUGGAGAUAUGUCUGCAACUUUCAGGGAAAAAAAUUAAUAUCUUAAUAUUUCUGGAACAACUCCAAAAUGAAUCUAGAUUUCAACCAACCCCACAUAGCGGUUAUGGAUACUUUGUUGAAUUAACAAACAAAAAAACAAAAUAAAUUCCUGGUUAACCUUUUUUCUCUCUCCUUUAAGUUAUUUAUUUUUUGAUAGGUUAUUCUGGUUAACUCUUUUAUUGGUAGUUACUAAUAAAGGUUCCACAUUCCAAGCUUCUCACCAUUUUUUUUUUCCCUUGAAAGGUUUUCCAAACUCAUCACCAUUAUAGUGAUGACUGAUCAAUACACUUCUGUCAUCCAUCAUUCUCAUAUUUACACUCUCUAAAUAUAUAUAUACAUAUAUUGUAGGCACCAGUUGGAAAGGUUUAUUUCACUGGCGAGCACACUAGCGCAGCCUACUAUGGUUAUGUUCAUGGAGCCUACUUUGCAGGUUUUUUGCUCUUCGUAAUUGGUCUAUAAUGUAAACCAGCUGUUACAUAUAGGGAAGGAUCUAACACAAAAAAUGCUUUCUCAGGUAUUGACACUGCAAAACUGAUGACCAGCUGCAUCAAGAGAGGAGCUUGCUCUUACAACAUUUGAUUAAAAAGAACUUAAAAAUAUGAAUUCUGCUAUUUCCCACCACUGCAAGGGUAUUCUACUCAUGCAUUUCACAUGCAUGCAUUUUCGAUUUUACACUAUAUGUAUGUGUAUAUGUGUAGAUGUGUAUUUAUCUGUUUAUGUAUGAACAUGAGUGAAUUUAUUGUUGCCAGUGACCUAAGCUAUGAAAGAAAGACAUGUUAUAUCUGUGCAUAUGCAUGGGCUUCAAACAUUUGUUUUCUACAAAUGCUGUGAAAGAAAUCAUGACCAUAUGCAAGCUAUGUAGUGGCUAAUUCACUGAGUUUCCUGCAGAAUGGAGACAUUAGAAUCACAUUUCUCCAGGUUUGUGUCUUGUGUCACAGGCCUUGCAUUUGGGGAAUUCAAUGCUAUACAGGAGGUCUCUUGAUUUCAAUAACUUCCAUCCUGGAAGAGCUCUGAUUCUUGGUUUUUGGAUCUUCUUGCCCCUAACUGGUUCGAUUUGUUUAUUCUCGUCUUUUCUCUUGCUUUCUCUCAUCCAUAAAAUAUAAUAACGAAAAGAAGACAUUGUUUUCGUUUUUGUUUUGUGAUGUCAAUGUUGUUAGGUUUUGAAGAAGUUUUGUUUGCUCUCCUGUAUUUUUCUCUUGCUUUUUCUUGUUCAUAAAAUAAAAAGUUGUUUCUGUUUAGUGAUGUCAAAGUUGUCAGCUUUUGAAGGUUUGAUCCCGCUACAUUAUUAUCCUGAGAAAGCAGUUAACCAACGUUUUGCAUUUUCAAGGUUUUGGGCAAAGUUAGGGACACCCACUCAAAUUAUCCACUAGAAAAACCUUGGUUCGCUUACAACACUUGUUAAAUAAUUUCAAAAUAAAUCGACCCUUAUUUGAUCAAAACACUUCACCACAUCAGUUGGGAUAGGUAAGUAGAACAUUUUUAUUCAUGCAAUGAGAAUAUGUAAAACAGAUGGAUCUAAAGGAUUUGAAAAGCCCUUGUUGGUGUAGCACGAGUUAUGUGAUAGACAAAUGCCCUAAUACAGGCAACACCAGCACCCUCCCAAAUAGAUCAAGAAUAUUGACGUUGUGUGAUAGACACACCUCAUAGUACCGCCCCAGCUCCCCUCCCUUUUUGCCUUCUCUCUAUAAAGAAUGAUGCAAAUUCACUAUGAGUACUCGUUUAGAAAUCAACUGUGUGGCAAGUUAUGUGAGAGCAGGUUUGCUUACAUUAUGAGGGAGGGGAGUAUAGAUAGGCUAAUGGUUGAAGUAAACAAGUGAAACUUCUAUGUUACCUGUAGAACUGAAAAGUUUCUAAUCGAGGUUUAAGUAAUAAUUUGAGAAAAAAGGCAGAAACAAGAUUCUGGAAAUCUUAUAUUCUCACAGGAAAAUGCAACUCUUUUGCUGCGUAGUCUAUUCAUAGAUUGCCACUUAUCUGGUGCCACAUUACCAACUCUACUAGCAUAGAUUAGGUGCUUCCUACCUCUGGACUGUAAUGUAUGAUUGUGUCAAUACUCCCGAUGAUGCUUAUGACUCCAUAUUUCUUCCUGAGCCACAGCGUUACAGCAUCUGGGCAUGAAUACCUAUCUCUUGUUAGAUGUCCUAGUAUCCCAACUACCCACAAAACAUAGAUGUCUGCUCAUGGCUAAUGCUAUGGGAGUUUUCCUACACCUCUAGGCGGAGAUGACUUCAUAUGCACCCAGGGGGAACCAUUGAUUCCCUUCGAUAAUAGAAAAAGGUUUCAUAUUCCUCCAAAUAUUUGACUAAAUGACCUCAUAUGUGACUCAGUAACCUCAUAUAUUAUCUGUGGUUUGAUGAUAUUGGCAUACUGUCAUGAUGCUAAUACAUCUAUCUGACUCAAGAGCAAGGCUUUGCGGUUUCAAUAUAGAUGUGGCACAUUUUAGUAGUGCGUUGUAGUAGUCAAAUCGGCCCUCUCACCACUAAGUACAUAGGGAUUGCUUCGAGGGUCUUAGUUUGGUGGGCAAAGUUGAAGACUUGCCGAGGUGGGUUUCACAUGCAUCAAGCUCACAUUGGCCAAAAUGAGAGGGAAGAGGAGACCAUUACGUCUCAACAACAUGUCAUCACUGCAGGUUUCUAUGACAUUUUAGGAUAAUUAGUCUGAGUUACAUUUCAGAAUGAUAAAAAGCCUCAAUUCAUUGCCAAAAGGGAAUGGGAAAAUUUGACUCGUAUCUCUCCAAAUUCUUCAUAUCCUCCCAUAGCUCGAAAAGUUUCUUCUCAUACAGGUACCCUCUUACUCCACUCAGUCCCUUCUCAUACAAUGCCACUUGUUAGCCUCCUUCAAUUAAGAACCUUAUUUAAGCACUUCUGUAAUAAGAUCAUGUCAAUCAUCCUCUUUCUCAAAUUUACACGAAGGAAAAGCUCUUGAGAAAAUAAUACUUGCAAUUGCCGCCAAAUUCAUAAGCUUGUGGUAAAUGAGUCUUCUCGUCCCAUACAUUCAAAUUUGACUUCUAUCAAUUCUCUCUCUAUUAUGUUCCUAUAUCUUUCAUCCCCUCCUUUACAGACAUCAACUAGCUUCCAACCUUCAUGAGUCACAAUCAGCAGCAUUAUCAAUUGUUUUUGAUAAGCUGAGAUAAAUUUACUAAAAGGAACCAAAUUACACCAUUGAAAGCAAUUUCAUAUACAGGACCAUUCAUAUCUAGGUAUUUAAAAUCUUCCAAAUGCUUAAUUUUGAAAUUUCUGCUUGUGCAAGAACAUUACUCCUAAACAUCUAUGAUCUACUUUUCAAAUAGGGUUAAGGAAAACCCUUAAAUUAAAACAAGCUAGACACUACUGAAUUCUCAACCACUCAAAAAAAGAGAAGUAUUGGCAAUUUAACUGCAAAAAUAAUACAGAAUAAUAAAUUCUCCCUCUUCCUUUUUGGCCCCACAUUUUGUUUAUCAUCAUAUACAAGUACCAAUUAUUGGCUAAAAAUUCUACCCUAAAGGAAACCUAAUAAUAUCACACCCUGGUUCCACUAGUAAUUGGAAGUUGGAACUAAUACCCUGGUUCCACUAGUAAUUGGAACUAACACCUUGGUUCCACUAGUAAUUGGAACUACGGUCAAGCAUACAUAAGAAAAAUCAUCUCUAAUAUACCUCUUUCCAAAUAAAUUUCACAAAUAUAUUUGUUGAGAAACCACAAACCAAAGCCUAAUCCACCAACCCCAUGCAAAAUUACAGUAAACCAAGGCACUGAUAAGAAUUAUAAAUUGGCUCACUCUCAGUUUGGCUGCUGAGAAAGAAAAAAAAAAGGACAAAAGAAUUAAAAAAGACAUGCACUGAAAAAGGACCAAAAAUGAGCACUUGGUUUUCUCUUGAUUUUGGCUCUUUUAAAGUAUGUGGAAAAUGUUAUAAAUAUGGAAAAAUAAAAGCUCCUUAUUUGAUUUAAUUUCUUGAUAUUAUCAUCAAUAUAAAUAUGGAAGAAUAAGAAUUCCUUGUUUGAUUUAAUUUCUCAAUAUUAUCAUCAAAUAAAUAAGUAAAAGAUACUAUCCUAUAAACCAAAAAAAAAAAAUAUGAAAGAAAAUAAUUGCAAGAAUAUAUUGAUUAAAACCCAAAAAAAUAAAACACAUAAAAUAGUAAAAGUUAAGUGAUUUUAAUGUAAAGAUCAAAUCAAACAAACAAAAAUUCUUACAAUACUAAAAUUAUGUUGAAAAUUAAGAUAAAAUCUUUUGACCGAAUGAAAUUCUUGAGAAGACAGAUGAAAAGAAGAAUUAUAAUUUCCUUCGUUUAAAAUAAAAUGUAUUUAAUCUGUUUUGUAUUCAAAAACUAGAAAGUCACCCGUAUUUGUUCAUAUAUUUUUAUUCUAUUACAUCUAUUCCAAUUUCCCUUGUUCUUUUAAAGAAAGUUGGCAUCCAUCCUUUUUUAAUACCAUCUUUCAGGACGCUCAAGGCAUGAGUUCUUCUUUUCAAGUUCGCUUUUUUCUUUUUCUUAUUGUCCAUUGUCUCCUCUUGUCAUGAACUCAUUUAUCCUAUAUAAAUGAGAAAGGAAUCAGGGUAGGAACCCGUAGAAGAAGAUCAGGCAGAGAUGGACAUAAGAAGAAAAUGGUUGUUGGCUUCCCUGAUUGUCAUCAUGGUAAUGUUCGGAACUCUUUCGAGUUACCGGAUUUAAGACCGGUUUGAUCUCAAUCCGGUCCAAAUGACCGGAUCGGACCAGAAUGGUGACCGAUCGACAGUCGGACCGGCCGGUCCGGUCCGGUUUUUAAAACAUUGAUAAAUACCCUCUGCAAGUGUUUCCAGUCAAUAUUCACUUUUCUCUCCUUUCUUUCUUUCUGAAUAUUCUUCCCUCUUAUUAGCCCCAAACAAGUAAAUUUUUUAUGGGAUUCACAUGUUUCAUUGUAAGAAAAACUGGACUUAGUUGAAUUAGAAGUCUGACAUAUACUGUUGUUUGAAGGGAUGGGCUAUUUUAUUUUAUUUAUUUUUUUGCGGCUAUGCUAUGGUUCCUGUCUUCAUCAUUUUAGUGCUUUAUAUGUGUCGACAAAAUAUGGAUAUCCCAGAGGGUCAGAAAUGAGAAUUAAAGGAAACAGCCCUUCAUUUGGAUAUACAAAAGAUAGAAAAGGAACCAUCUGCUAUCAACCUAGCUACUCUCUCCUAAUAAGUCUUUUGGAAUAAAUAUCUCCUCUGAACUCACCAACCUAAAAGACUCAGUUAUCUCCAAUAAUAUCUUCUGCAUAUAUAAGAUUUAGGCUAUAUUUGGUUCCUAGAAAAUUUGAGGAAAACACAAAAGAAAAAAAAUAUAAAGGAAAAAUAGAAGGAAAGAAAAAGUGAAAGAAAAAAAAAAAAUUAAAAGCCAAUAAAUUAUUAUUUUUUUGUUACUUCAAAUUUAUUUUAUUUAUUUUAAUUCAUCAAUAUAAAGAUUAAAUAAUUUAAAAAUAUAUAAGUUUUUAAUUAAUUAUACUUAUAUUUGAUUUUUUUUUUUCAUAGGACAACCAAAUAUGAAAAAAUCAUUUUUCUUUGUAUUUGUUUUCUUUCCUUAGUAUUUUUCAGGAACAAACAUAUCUUUAAAGUUUGUAGAGAGGGAAAAAAACAUUGUUAUCAUCUACUUAAUUUCAUAAAUUAUAUAUGUCAAAACUUUAUGAGAGAAAUGAGAACUACUUUUGACGACACCUAACUUUACUUAUUCACAAUCAGGACAUUCAAAUGUUACAAUCAAUAUUGAAAUGACUACUUCAUUAAUAAUAUUUCAUUUCAAUGACAAAAUAUCCAUUUCCAAAUUCUUUCCUACUUACCAAAUGCCCAAACACCGGAAUGCCCAAAUUUAGUACUCAGCCAUGUGCCCUCAGCCAAUUUCUGCAGCAUCAUUAACAUCCCUGAAAAAUUUUCCGUUGCUCCAAUGAAUUAAACUUUCUUAAGAAUCGGACACAUAUAAAACCUUUCAAUCAUAUUGAUAAAAUAAAUACUGAACUUUUGUUGAACUGAAUUCUCAGUUUUCCCAAAACACCACUUGAGAUGGUCAUUGACUACUACCUGUGUGAUUUUGAGGGUGCGGAGCCACCACGAGUCAAUAGCUUGCUGAACUCUGAGCCAUCUCCUACAUACUCCAAAUUUGGUGAGGACAGUUAUUUUGUUGCAGAUCCAAGGGGUUAUGAGUGUUGUUGAUUAUGUGGCCGAGCAGUUUCUCAACACAAAAGCAGCUGGACAAUUAACUGAUCCUCGCCUUUAACUUAAGAAGGUCAUUAGAAGCUUAUAUCACCUUGUUAUAUCAUAUUACCUGAUCUAAUCCGGCUGACUACUACUUCCAACUCUUGAUGAACAAACUCAUCUCAGGUAGUGACUGAAAUAAGCCAUUCCCCAACAGGUGUGACUGUCAAGACAGAGGAUGGCUUGGUGUUCAGAGCUGACUAUGUCAUUGUCUCCGUCAGUCUUGGUGUCCUUCAGAAUGAUCUCAUCAAAUUCCAUCCUUCUUUGCCAGUAUGUUAUAUAAGUCCAGUGAUAAGUAAUAACCCUAUAUUUUCUUUUUCCCUUUGCUACGAAACCUACAGAACUGACUUGACCUUGAAAAUUUAUCCAAUGAUGCAACAGCAAUGGAAGAUCCUUGCUAUGGACCAGUUUAAUAUGGCUAUCUAUACCAAAAUAUUCCUCAAGUUUCCUUACAAGUUUUGACCAAGUGGCAAUGGCUCAGAAUUCUUCUUGUAUGCUCACAAAAAGCGUGGUUACUACCCGGUUUGGCAGGUAAUUCAGUUCAUGCUGUUUUCUUCAAAAAUUGUUCUUCAAAAUGCAAUCACAUUUGAUCAAAAUGUGUAUUUGUAGCAUCUAGAAAGGGAGUUCCCUGGAGAGAAUGUUCUUUUAGUGUCAGUUACUGAUGACGAAUCAAGAAGAUUGGAGCAGCAGUCAGAUUCUGAGACCAGGGAAGAGAUCAAGGCUAUCUUGCGAAACAUGUUUGGGAAACAAAUUCCAGAAGCUACAGAUAUAUUAGUCCCUAGAUGGUGGUCAAACAGAUUCUACAAGGGCAGUUACUCCAACUGGCCAAUUGGAGUUGGUCAUCACCAAUUCAAUCAGAUAAAGGUUGUUCCAUUUAUUAGAAUCUAUCAGCAUGAAAUCAGUUAUUGAUUUUGAAAGCAAAAAAUUUAACUAAACAAGAAGAGAGAGGAGUAUUUUGGAAACGAUAAUGAUAAAAAGUUUUCUAACAUAACUAAAUGAUAAAUAAAUUUAUAUAAUAAAUUAAAAAAGACACAAAGAAGAUAAGAAAGAAAAGAAAGAGAAGAAAGUACCUGAAUUUGUCAUUGCUCAAGCCAAUGCAAUUACUCCAAAUAGUUCUCUAAUACAUGACUAUUCUGAAUAUUGAGAUAUAUCUGCAAUUUUCAGGGGAAACAAAAUUAAUAUUCUUAUAUUUCUGGAACAACUCUGAAAUGAUUCUAGAUUUCAUACAAACCCUAAAUGGUGGGGAUCAAUAUUUUGUUGAAUUGACAAAAUGAUCCUGGUUAAACCCCAUUUUUUUCUCUUUCCUUUUAUUUAUUUAUUUUGAUAGGCUAGGUAACACCUUAAUUUAUAGUUACUAACAUAAGUUCCACAUUCCAAGCUCCUCACCAUUUUUUCCUCGUUGACAGGUUUUCCAAACUCAUCACCAUUAUAGUGAUGACUGAUCAGUACACUUCUUUAUGCAUCAUUCUCAUAUUUACACUCUAAAUAUAUAUAUAUAUAUAUAUAUAUAUAUAUAUAUAUAUAUAUAUAUAUAUAUAUAUAUAUUGUAGGCACCGGUUGGAAGAGUAUAUUUCACAGGCGAACACACUAGUGCAGCCUACUAUGGUUAUGUUCAUGGCGCCUACUUUGCAGGUUUUGCAGUCUUAGUAAUUGGCCCUUUGAUGUAAACCAGCUCCUACAUAUAGGGAAGGUUCUAAUACAAGAAAUCCUGUCUCAGGUAUUGACUCUGCAAAAAUGAUUACCAACUGCAUCAAGAGAGGAGCUUGCACUAACAAAAUCUGAUAAAGAACUUAAAAUAUGAUUUCUCUUAUUCCCCACCACUGAAAGGGUAUUGUACUGAUACACUUUACACAUGCAUGCACUUGCCACUUACCUAAACUAUAUUUGUGUGUAUUUAUCUGUUUAUGUAUGAAUGUGAGUGAAUCUAUUGUUGCCAGUGAGCUAAACUACAAAAGAAAGACAUGUUAAAUCUGUGCAUAUGCAUGGUGUUCAAACAUUUGUCUUAUACAAUGCUGUGAAAGAAAUCAUGACCAUAUACAUGCUAUGUAGUGAUUAAUUCACUGAGUCUCCUACAGUAUGGAGACAUUAGAAUCACUUUCCCUCAAGGUUUGUGUCUUGUGUCACAGGCCUUGCAUUUGGGGGCUUCAAUGCUGUAUAGGAGGUCCAUUGAUUUCAAUCAGUAACUUCUAUCCUGGAAGAGCUCUGAUUCUUGGUUUUUGAAUUUUCUUGCCCCUAACUGGUUCAAUUUGUUUGUUCUCGUCUUUUCUCUUGCUUUCUCUCAUCCAGAAACUAUAGUAAUGAAAAGAAAACAUUGUUUCUGUUUUGUGAUGUCAACGUUGUUGGGUUUUGAAGAAGUUUUGUUUGCUUUCCUGUAUUUUUUUUUCUUGCUUUUUCUUUUACAUAAAAUAAAAAGUUGUUUGUGGGACAACCACUCAAAUUAACCACUAGAAAAUCGGCAGUUCACUUACAGCACUUUUUUUUUUUUUUUUUUUUGAUAGAUAAGAAGCAAUUGUAUUGAAAAGUGCCAAAAAGGGCACCAAGGUACACUACAGCACUUACUUCUUAAUUAAUUUCAAAAUAAAUCAACCCUUAUUUGUUCAAAAAUAAAAUAAAAUUCACCACAUCAGUUGGGAUGGAUGGAUUUAAAGGAUUUGAAAGGCCCUUGUUGGUGGCAUUAGUUAUGUGAUAGACAAAUGUCAUAACACAGGCAACACCACCACCCUCCCAAAUAGAUCAAAAAUAUUGAUGUUGUGUGAUGGACACACCUCAUAGUACCGCCCCAGCUCCCCUCCUCAUUUUUGCCUUCUAAGUUCUAUCUAUAACCAAUAAUGAGAAUUCACUGUAAUUAUUCGUUUAGAAAUCAACUGUGUGGCAAGCUAUGUGAGAACAGGUUCGCUUACAUUAUGAGGGAGAGGGCAGGGGGGGAGUAUAGAUAAGGUUAAUGGUUGAAGUAAACAAGUGAAAGUUCUAGUUACCUGUAAUACAGAAAAGUUUCUAAUAGAGGUUUAAUUAAUACGUUGAGAAAAAAUUGCAGAAAAAUGAUUCUGGAAAUCUUAUAUUCUCACAGGAAAAUGGAACUCUGUUGCCAUGUAUUCUAUUCAUUGAUGUCUUACAAGUUACAUAUGGGCCAGUCAUUGGUUACCUAUUUGCAGGCAUAAGCAUCAUUUGUGGCUUGAUCAAUCAUACAUUGCCACUUGUCAGGUGCCACAUUACCAAGACAAAUCUCCACUACCAUAGCAUUAGGCGCUUCCUACAUCUAGACAGUAAUGCAUGAUUGUGUCAAUACUCCAAUUAUGCUUAUGAACUCCAUAUUUCUUUUGGUGCCACAGUGUUGCAGAAUAUUGCCAUGGAGGCCUACCUCUUGUUAGAUGUCCGUAUCCCAACUACCCAUAUAACAUAGAUGUCCGCUCAUUACUAAUGUUGGGGCAUUUCCCUACUUCAACUCUAGGGGGAGAUGAUUGUCGGGCUUUGUGGAACCUAGUUUUGUUUGAUCCGAUUUGACGACCUAACUUGAAUAAUAUUUGCGUGGUUUUUUAAUGGGAGAUUUAUUGAGGCUUAGUCCAUAGAGCAAAGGCUUAGGCCAAUAGGGCCAAGCCGGAGCGCUUAUGGACAAGCCUUCUGGGGGUUCGGGGACGCUGCCCCUGGGAAAAUAUCUUGGGCCCGUUUAGCCCAUUGUGGAACCACCUUUUGUAAUUAGGGUUUUUUUGUGUGGUGUUGUUGCUGUGUUUUAUAGAGAGAGAAAAUAUUGUAGCCAAAUGUAGUAUUCUGUAUUCUUCCUUGAUAAUAGUGAUAUCCUUACAACUCCGUUGACGUAGACAAAUUGCCGAACUACGUAAAUACUGUCUUAUGCGUAUGAUUGUUUUUUCUUUGACGUGCGUUUUUCUCUAUUUUUUUUAUUUUUUUUUUUUGUUUCUCACAAGUUGAGAAUUCGGCUUAAUUCCCUUCAAUGACCUCAUAUGCACCUAGGGAACCAUUGAAUAUUCACUUCUAUAAUAGAAAAGGGGUUAAUAUUCCUCCAAACUAUUUCUCAUGUAUUAUCAGUGGCUUGAUGAUAUUAACAUAGUGUCAUGAUGCUAAUACAUCUAUCUAAGUUGAGAGCAAGGCUUUGGUGUUUCGAUAUAGACUUGGGACAUUUUGCUAGUCAAAUUGGUCCUCUCACCACUAAGCACGUAGGGAUUGCUUUGGGGAUCAUAGUUUGGUGCAUGGCUAAAGUUGAAGGUUUGCCAAGGUGGGUUUCACAUGCAUCAAGCUCAUUUUGGCAAAAAUGAUAGGGAAGGGGGACCACUAGGUCUCAGUAACAAAUUAUCACUAUAGGUUUCUACGACAUUAUAAGAGUUACUUUUCAGAGUAAUAAAAAAAAUUCCAUUUAUUGCCAAAAGGGAAUGCUAAAACUUGAUUCUCCUAUCACUCUGAAUUCUUCAUAUCCUUCCAUAAGGUUGAAAAAGUCCCUUCUCAUACAGGUAGCCUCUUACUCUAAUCGGUCUCCCCCUCAAACAUUGACACUUCACAAUGCCAUGUGGUUAGCCUCCUUCAAUUAAGAAUCUUAUUCCUUAACAAGAUUAGGUCAAUCACUCUCUUUCUAUCAAAUUUACACAAAGGAAAAGCUCUUGAGAAAACACUACUUGCAAUUGCUACCAAAUUCAUGAGCUUGUGGUAAAUGGGCCAUCUCGUCCUAUGGAUUCAAAUCUAGCUUCUAUCGAUUCUUUCCCAUUAAGAAAGACAAACAUUAAAAAAAGGACAAAAAUAAAAAAAUAAAAAAAUAAGCACCUGUUUCUUUCUUGAUUUUGGCUUUUUCUUUUUUUUUUCUUUUUUUUUUUUCUUUUUUGGGAUUACUUGAUUAAAAUGGUAUUUGAAAGCACAAAUUGGAAAUCUAACCUUCUUUCCCUUUUUUCUUUUUGAAAAAAAUACUUUCACUUUGUUCAUGUAAAAAUAACUUUUUCUUUAAAAACCUACUCUAAAUAAUCAUAAUGGUGAAGGACAUCUAUAUCAAAAAUUAAUUAAUUUUCAAGUAAAAAUACUAAGGAUUAGAUUUACAAAUUUGAAAAUUAUUUCAUUCCUUUUAAAGUAUGUAGACAUUUUUAUUCUCCCUAGUUUUAAAAGAUUCAAAUUUUGAUCUAUUAUAUUUUCUCACACUUUGACAGAAAACAAACAAUAAGGAAAUAAAAUUGCAGAUAAAAAGUUGAACAGGAGAAUCGAUUACCGAAACGAGUUGAACAACCGCAACAACAACCUUCAACAGAACAUGAUCCCCUCAAUGGAGCCACCAAAACUUUCAUAUCAAACUCAAACUCACGAAUGCUAAUUUUAUUUCUACUCUCCAGGAUAGAGAGAGAAAAUUGAAGUUGUGACAUGUGAGUGGGCAUCUGAGAAUGAUAGUUGCUAU